UACGUAGGGGGCAAGCGUUGUCCGGAUUUACUGGGCGUAAAGCGCGUGUAGGCGGCCAGAUAGGUCUGCUGUGAAAACUCGAGGCUCAACCUCGAGCUGUCGGCGGAAACCAUCUGGCUAGAGUCCGGAAGAGGAGAGUGGAAUUCCUGGUGUAGCGGUGAAAUGCGCAGAUAUCAGGAAGAACACCUAUGGCGAAGGCAGCUCUCUGGGACGGUACUGACGCUGAGACGCGAAAGCGUGGGGAGCGAACAGG
rnacentral:rRNA from 1 species